rnacentral:rRNA from 1 species
UACGAAGGGGGCUAGCGUUGUUCGGAAUCACUGGGCGUAAAGGGCGCGUAGGCGGCUUUAUAAGUCGGGGGUGAAAUCCUGGAGCUCAACUCCAGAACUGCCUUUGAUACUGGCGAGCUUGAGUCCGGGAGAGGUGAGUGGAACUGCGAGUGUAGAGGUGAAAUUCGUAGAUAUUCGCAAGAACACCAGUGGCGAAGGCGGCUCACUGGCCCGGUACUGACGCUGAGGUGCGAAAGCGUGGGGAGCAAACAGG